GGAGAAGGAGAAGGAGAAGGAGAAGGAGAAGGAGGAGAAGGAGAAGGAGAAGGAGGAGAAGGAGAAGGAGAAGGAGAAGGAGGAGAAGAAGGAGAAGGAGAAGAAGGAGAAGCAGCAGAGAGACUCCCUGUCCCUAUCCCUACCGCUGUACCCAUUCUAGUCCCUGAUAGAAUGGGGAGGAGGGGAAAGCAGGAGAGCCUGGCCCUGCCUCCAAACUCAAGUGCUUCCUGGAAGGAAGAGGCAGAAUAUACAGACAUGUUUGCAGAAGGAAGGAGAUCCAGCAGUGCCCCGUCAGUUACCUUCUAAGCACCUGAAGGCCCAGCCUCUUUCCAUCACUGGAAACGUAGCCAUGACAACGGACAGGAAUUCCCCAAUAUAGACUAAGAAGAUCCAGCAAAACCCGCAGCUUCCCCCGCCCACACUAGCUCUCUUAUCAAACGGGACGGGCUGUCUCUUGGGAUUGCACUUCGCACUAGGGCCGCCCGUUCCAUGCACUCUCUCCAACAUUCUGCCAGGGGCUGGUGGCGGCGGAAUGAGUGGAUAAUGGAAUGAACUUAAAGGGGGAGUGAGGAGGACGGAAUGCUAUCUCGCCCCUCUUGCCAACCGGGUCUUACUCAAAGGAGGGGAUAGUCCGGUUUUCUCUGUGAAGUUCCAGCUUAUCAGCCGGACUCUGUCCGUUCCUGCCACCUCCGCUACUGCUCGGAGAUCGGCUGGAGGAUGCUGAGUGGAAUUUGUCGUCCUGCCAUGAGUAAUAGAAAGGGCCUAAGAUCCCGGCGACCGUCAGUAUUGAAAUGACAUUAGCGCGGAUCCUUCUCGUUUAGAGGACCCGAGUGCUGUCUGGGAACCUGGAGUAAUUAAGAAAGAGCUGGCUUGGUAGAUUGGGGUGAGUAGAGGGUGGAGGAGGAAAUGUUUGAUAAAGUAGUUUGGGAGCAGGUGAAAAGGCCUGAGGUGCCCUCAUUGCCACACAGCAUCCACCCUUGGAAGAACAUCAGAAAGUAAAUUUCCUGGUACCCAUAACAAGGAGGCUCUAGUUUUCCUGUGGCUACUUCAGAAGGCACUUUGACUCAGGCUGCUUUAGCUUCUAUAAUGGCAAUAACAGAAUAGGACAUUGUUGUGAUGUUUCUCCCAAUUCAAAAUGUUUCCUCCUCUCACACUUGAAAACUCUCUCUAAUUUUUAAGCUAAUUUUAAUUUAAUCUUUAUGAUUUAAAAAAUUCUCCCAGUUUCCCAUUGUUUCAAGGUGUUCCAAGGGGCUUGGAAGAGGGGCCCAGAAGUUGGAGGCCACAUAACUUCUCUGCCCAUUGACUUCCACAAGGCUCCACUCUGGGCUCCUCUUUUUGUCCUGUCUCUCCAGGACUGUCACCGACUGUCCAGCCAGUAGGCUCAUUUCAUGGUUGCUCCGGGCUACAAAUGGAUUAACAGCCACCACCUAAAAACACACAGAAAGUAACAAAGCAAGAAGACCAAGAAAGGCAUAAUGGUCCAAGAACAAAUGGAAGCAAAGAGGUGCAAAUUCAUUUCUUGCUACCAAUGACUUGAGAAGCCAUGUGGAGACAGUGGAAAAGGCAUUGUAUUGGAAGUUAGAAGAUCUGGUUACCACUUCUGUGACUGAGCAAAUCAUCUCUUUUCUCUGAGCCUUGGUUUAUUCAUCUAUAAAAUGAAGGGCUUAGACUAGACAGAUUCUAAGGUCCCUUUUAAGUCUCAGACAAUGUUCCUAUAUUCCUCACACUUUCCCAUACUCUCUGUGGACCAUUGUCUCUUCUCUUCAUUCUUCUCAUUGUCUUUUUCUUGUUAAUGAGGAGUAUAGUCUAAAAAUGUCUCCAGCUCUUUCUCUUACUUAGAGCUCCAUAGCUCUCAAAGAAACAAAGAUGAGAAACAAAAAUUACUAGAGCCACAAGAAACCUAAGAUGCACAACAUCCUGACUAGUAGGACUGUUGAAUCCCCAGGACUAGACCCCAUCCAAGUAAGAGGAUCUCAAUCUACUUGGGUGGGAUUGCUCCAAUGAGCAGACUGAAUUUUGGAAGUUAUAGGUAAAGUUAACAGUGAAUGCCUGUGGCAAGUGGAGCAACAAUUAUAUGGUCCCUAUAUACACUAUUAUAUAAUUAUAUCUUAUAUAGAACUAUCUGGUUCUAUAUAUAUACACAAUAGACACUAUUGAUUCUAGAUGUCAAACUUUGGUCUAAUAUAUUUGCUGCAAAUAUUACUAAUGUUUUCUGUUAAUUUAUAUAUUACUUUUUUGCUGUAAAGAAUAUUUUUUCAUACAGCCAAAUGUAUUGAUUUUAUUUCCACUAAUUUCUUCCAUUUGUUAGAUUCAUGGAAAUCUUAUUUACCAUGGUUGAGUCUUAUAUUCCUUUAUCCUUUAGCAUUCUACAUUUUAAAAAAUAUUUUAGAUUGGUGAAAUGGAUUUUUUAUAUAUGGCGUGAGUAAGGGAUCCAAACCUAGUGUUCCUACCCAAUUUUCCUCAGAGUUUUUAUUUGAUACUUAUUUCAUUCUCUAUAUCUUUGAGACAGAGACAGAGAGAGAGAGAGAGAGAGAGAGAGAGAGAGAGAAAGAGAGAGAGAGAGAGAGAGAGAGAGAGAGAGAGAGAGAGAGAGAGAGAGAGAGAGAGAGAGACUGUUUCUGGAUUUCUGGAUUCCCUAUUAUGUUCCAUUGAUCUGUUUUAUUUUUCUCUUGUACUGGGCAAUUUUUAAUAACUCUCCUAUAGAGUACAUUAAAAUUUGAUUAAUCAAG